rnacentral:rRNA from 1 species
UACGGAGGGGGCUAGCGUUGUUCGGAAUUACUGGGCGUAAAGCGCGCGUAGGCGGACCUGCAAGUCGGGGGUGAAAGCCCGAGGCUCAACCUCGGAACUGCCUUCGAUACUGCGGGUCUCGAGUCCGGGAGAGGUGAGUGGAAUUCCCGGUGUAGCGGUGAAAUGCGCAGAUAUCGGGAAGAACACCCGUGGCGAAGGCGGUUCUCUGGGACGGUACUGACGCUGAGACGCGAAAGCGUGGGGAGCGAACAGG